rnacentral:RNase_P_RNA from 1 species
UGAGUAAACCGGAUGGUCGCGGGAGAAAUCUCUCCCGAGGAAAGUCCGAGCUCCACAGGGCAGGGUGCUGGGUAACACCCAGUGGGGGCGACCCCAAGGAAAGUGCCACAGAAACAGACCGCCCGGCCUCCUAGGGUACGGUAAAAAGCCCUAUAAAUCUGCCCUGGGAUCUUAAACCCAGGAUUUAAAGUUAAAGGGGCUUCCGGCCCUGCUUACGCCGGGUAAGGGUGGAAAGGUGAGGUAAGAGCUCACCAGCGGUUAGGCGACUAACCGGCUAGGUAAACCCCACCCGGAGCAAGACCGAAUAGGGGGACAAUGGGGUGGCCCGCUCCGUCCCCGGGUAAGGUCGCUGGAGGUACUAGGCAACUAGUACCCUAGAUAGAUGACCAUCCUCGACAGAACUCGGCUUACAGGUUUGCUCAAGGG